rnacentral:rRNA from 1 species
GUCUACGGCCAUACCACCCUGAACGCGCCCUAUCUCCUCUGAUCUCGGAAGCUAAGCAGGGUCGGGCCUGGUUAGUACUUGGAUGGGAGAUCCGAGUUCUUUUUUUUUUAAGUC